AAAGUGGUCUGUAGCAUAUAACAAGGGAAGGUAUUUCCUAGGGAUGUUGAGCAAUCAGAGGAGUGAGUCUCUAAACUCGAGGCUUCAUGUGCACCUGAAUAGGAGAAUGAAACUCGUUGAUCUCGUGCAACACGUUGAACACUGUGUGUCAGUUUUGCGUAGGAAUGAAGCAGCAUUGGACGACGUAGCUUCGCACACAAUCUUCUUCACUAGAUUGACUGCCGAUCCACUUGAGAUAAGUGCCUCAUCUAUUUAUACCCCUGUUAUGUUCAGUAAGGUAAAGGACGAGAUUGUCAACUUAUCAAGAUGAAAUGUUCUUGAGGUGGAAGAGGACACUGGUUUGGUUAGCUAUGGAGUUGCUCGCAAAGAGUCGGUGCACGUUAGGUUCCAUGUCACAUGUAUUUUUGAUGGAUCUAAGAUGGAAAGUGCAUAUUGUGGAUGUAGGAAGAUGGAAAGCGAGGAUUUUCCAUGUGCUCAUAUAUUUUGCGUUUUGAAGUAGAAUGGGAUAUGCACCAUCCCCGCAUGUUGUGUGAAGGCUAGAUGGACAAUGCAAGCCAAGCCUGCUUUCGGUUCUGUGAGGAGUGCCAAUACACAUGUAUGGUCAGAACAGAUGGAUAAGUACCAUGAACUGCGCAAUAUGGCUAGUGAGGCUUUAUUCACGGCCUCAGCUAGUGAAAUGCAGUCAGAAAAGGUGAUGGAGUACCUGAGGAGCAUAUUGGACGAGGGCAACAAAAAUGAUGGGAAUACUGGCACGCCAUCAUUUGUUCCUAUGCCGGCUUAUUUUUCUGGGGCGCGGCAAUGGUUUACAGAUCAAGUCCAAGACCCUAAACCAAUAAUAAAUCCCAAAGGCAGACCAGCCAAAGAAUCGAAUAAGAGGUUGAAGCCAUUCCUGGAGAAUUUGCAAGCAAAAAAGAAAACAUUGAAGAAAGUUCAUGGUCAGUUGAGUAGGGGAGGAAGAAAAAAGUGAACAAUACUGUAGAAGAAGCAGGAGAAGAAGAAGGAGGAGAAGAAGAAGAAGAAGAAGAAGAAGAGGCGGCAGAAGAAGAGGAUCGUGCUAAGAAGAGGAAACCGGUGAAGAAAGCUUCAGCAAAGGUGACUGAAGUUAGUAUGAUGACUCGGGGGAGAAAGAGAAAAGAGAACAAUGACGAAGUGUGUGCUAAGAACAAAAGACCUUUCAAGUAAGUUUAUGCAUUUUCAGAAGUACAGUCGUCUGUAUAGCAGUGCUGCACAUUAUAUGAGAACGUUAUUCGUCGUAUUAAUAUGUGUAGCGAACGCUUUUUUCUGAGGGCGUGAUUGGAAGGGAGGUGGGGCCCCUUCGUGGGGAGAUAAAUGAUACAUAUGCGUAGUCUAACAGAAAUAGAUAACCGACCGGCGAUUUUGUUUUCUUUCCAGAAAAAAGAAAAGUAGCUAUCGUUAGCAACGGAAGGAGAUGAGGCAUGCACGCCCUACGGGAUUGCAUGCAAAAUAUUUUAGAUAGGAAAAUUUUGGAGGAUUCUAGAAAGUUACUUCC